GGGACGAACGCUGGCGGCGUGCUUAACACAUGCAAGUCGAGCGGAAAGGCCCUUCGGGGUACUCGAGCGGCGAACGGGUGAGUAACACGUGAGCAAUCUGCCCUUAGCUUCGGGAUAGCUCCGGGAAACCGGAAUUAAUACCGAAUACGACCACGGCCGACAUCAGCUGUGGUGGAAAGUUUUUCGGCUAGGGAUGAGCUCGCGGCCUAUCAGCUUGUUGGUGAGGUAACGGCUCACCAAGGCGACGACGGGUA
rnacentral:rRNA from 1 species